AAUAACUUAGCAAGGAAAAAUUGGUUAAUWUCCAGCUGGAUCAGUAUCCUGAGCCUGUUUUUCGCAUAGCCCUAUAAUCAUCUGUGCUGGUAAAACUGAAGUAUAGUGCAGGGACAAGCAACUGUGAGAGGACUCUGCUUGAGAAAGGACUUCCACCAAAAAUCUCCAUCGAACCGCAGCCGAGUCCUCGGCUCCGCCUAGCCUGAACCUCUGCAUAAUGCAAGACAGUUACAACUGUAAUUGCCUUAUGUUAGGAUCUCUUCCUUACAGAUACGAGACUUAGAAGAAAACAACAAAACUAACGCUGGGACCAUAAAAUAAUACAAAUSAAAACUUUCAUCCCUGAGAUGUUGCCUCACUUUAUCAAAAUGACAGCAUGUUUUCAGUGAACCCCAGCUUUAUCCAGGCCUCCUGCAAAAUAACACAAGGAAAUGUGCCUUUACUCCUGUGCCAUUAUGUUAAAGAAAUUUCACAGCUGAACUUGAAAAGACUCAAGAAUUUAGAAUUAAAAUAUUGGCCGUGGUCCUUUGAACAAGCGCCUUUCACUAAGGACACAGAUGAAGGAAGUCACCUCACCUAUUUAACCAUGGCUGGACAUGUUGGAUACAGGAGACAUGGUCACAUCUCACAGCUACAUCACUGCAGCAUGUCCCCUGUCUUUCAGGCCUGGAUUUACGAAGGGACUAAGAGGAGUAWAACUCACCUUCCUGAUGUGUAGUGCCAGAAAACACAGUGUGUACAUUCCUGGUUACUUGGAYCACACAGAGCUGUACAAGCCCGCGUAUCCUGCUGUCUUUGAAGCUUUUCGUAGCUCCCC
rnacentral:lncRNA from 1 species